GACGAACGCUGGCGGCGUGCUUAACACAUGCAAGUCGAACGGUGAAGCAGAGCUUGCUCUGUGGAUCAGUGGCGAACGGGUGAGUAACACGUGAGUAACCUGCCCUUGACUCUGGGAUAAGCGUUGGAAACGACGUCUAAUACCGGAUACGAGCUGAGACCGCAUGGUCAUCAGUUGGAAAGAUUUUUUGGUCAAGGAUGGACUCGCGGCCUAUCAGCUUGUUGGUGAGGUAAUGGCUCACCAAGGCGACGACGGGUAGCCGGCCUGAGAGGGUGACCGGCCACACUGGGACUGAGACACGGCCCAGACUCCUACGGGAGGCAGCAGUGGGGAAUAUUGCACAAUGGGCGCAAGCCUGAUGCAGCAACGCCGCGCGAGGGAUGACGGCCUUCGGGUUGUAAACCUCUUUUAGUAGGGAAGAAGCGAAAGUGACGGUACCUGCAGAAAAAGCACCGGCUAACUACGUG
rnacentral:rRNA from 1 species